rnacentral:lncRNA from 1 species
CAACAAUCGGACUCGAGAAUAAGAAAACUCUCGGGCCUGAUAGGGAGUCGUUGGUCGGAACCUCCGACCAACCACCCCCUGUAGGAAUCUCACCUAUUGGAAGAACUAUCAAAAAUCCAAAGGAACUCAAAGAGAAAACAACAAAGAAUGUUUUCGCAUGAAAGUAGCUCUCUGGCAAAGCUCUCCCACCAGAAGAGAUAAAAUGAGGGAUGGAUACCUGACUGACAGCAGUCCUUUAUAUAGAGGAAUGCCUAACGGCCCGAAUGAAAGCAGUC